rnacentral:rRNA from 1 species
GUCCACGCAGUAACGAUGAUAACUCGUUGUCGGCGAUACACAGUCGGUGACUAAGCGAAAGCGAUAAGUUAUCCACCUGGGAGUACGUUCGCAAGAAUGAAACUCAAAGGAAUUGACGGGGCCCGCACAAGCGGAGGAACAUGUGGUUUAAUUCGAUGAUACGCGAGGAACCUUACCCGGGCUUGAAAGUUACUGACGAUUCUGGAAACAGGAUUUCCCUUGGGGCAGGAAACUAGGUGCUGCAUGGUUGUCGU